GCCCUCGGAGAAGGGGCAGGUGGUGGGCCCUGGGAUUCCUGAUGCUCCUUCGUGGCAAACCUAGAAUGCUAGACCACCACUGCCCAGAGCAGCCCUGGCUCCUUAGCUGCUCAGCACUCCUACCGGUAGCAUCACCACAAGCCAUCUCCCUCUCUGAGCGCCCUGUGGCUGGCUGCUGCUUCAUCCCAUGUGAAAUUCACUUCUGGCUCUGUUCUGACUCGGGUGCUGAAAACUGAGGCUAUUUACUGGUAAUAUUUUUAAAACUGUCAAAAUAUCAUUAGCAAUGCUUCCGGGGCAGGAGUGUGCCGAGCUUAGUCAUCGUCUCUGCAGUGCCCUAUGCAACGGCUCCUGCUGUGUUUUCUUGCUUUAGGCAGGUUUCCCCUGAGUAAACCGACAAGCUCCGUUAUUUUAUCCUACGAUUGUUGUCCGUGACUGUACUCUGUCACAUAGUGUCGUGUUGUGUCUUCAGUUUGCUUUGGCUCAUGAUGAACCCCACACCCUGGAGUGGCUCAGAGUGAUAUUUUGACUUGCACGUGUGGGACAUGUGCACGUGAGGCACUGCCUGCCAGUCAGUACUCUGGCUCUGUGGAGGCUGUGCUGUGUGUUUGAGUUGCCAGCUUCUCUGUGCUAGCCAGCCCAGCGGUUCCCACUCACUGUUGAGGUAAAGGCGGCUCCCAGCUGCUGGCUUGGGUCUGAGCCCACAGCUAGGCUUGCUGUCAGGCUCAGCCCUGUGUGGACUCUCCUCCCAUGGACAAAACUAUCUCAAGUCCACCUGUGCUUCAAGCUGAAACUCAGCCUUGGAGCUUAAAAUGAGCUGUGUGCUGGAGGUCAGGGUCGUCUGCUUACAGUGUUUUGUGGCCAGUCUCGUGGGUGCAAAAUGAUUUGUGUGUGCUGAGGUAGUUAGUCACUGUGUCAAGUGGGCCAGGCAAUGACUUACCUGCAUUAAGGAACGGCUCCACUUUCUCUGAUUUUUGAGGUAGGAUCCUCCUAGGCAUCUCAAGUGUUGGCUUACAGGCUUAAGUUCAGCAUAGCUGCAGGACUCCACAUCUUCAUAUUCACACAAGUUUUCUUUUGUUUUUUGAGACAGGGUCUCAUAGCCUAGAUUGGCCAAGAUCAAGGCGGCCUUGAUCUUGAUUUCCUAUGUCCAUAGAUGCUAACUAAGCUCACAGACCUCAUUCUAUGCUAUGUUGGAGAUGGAGCAUGCCUCAGACAAGCUAGGCAAGCACCUACCAACCAAGCUACACCCCGAACGCAGAAUUCCCUCUCUAAAGCUCUCUUAGUUGCCCGUACAGCAAGUAGAGCAGCCAGCCCUGACCAAGCACGCCUCGUUCAGUGGAAAGUCCGUGCACCUAAGGUCAGCGGAAGGUGAGGGGCAGAAGCAGCUCCUGUACUCUGUUGUUUGCAGAACAGGGCGCUGCUUUCCCCAGCUGGGCCCUGUACGGAGUGUGGUGGCUGUCGUAGGGGUUCUGGCUCAGGAGCUGACGUCCUUUUCUAGCUGUGACCAUCUUCUCCUUCAGGGGUUGAGGCUUCCAACCAGCUGCAGUGCUUAUUCACAUAUUCACAGCAGAGGGGAAGGGCUGAGCCCCCGCCAGCCUGAGGUCCUUCUCAGCCCUGCUGCUGAGGGCUAGGCAGUGGGAGGCCACUUUAUGUACUUAGAUGACCAGCUUAGAGUCUCACUGCCCACCCCACCCCCACCGCCAUUUAAAAGUAAAUUUUCAGGACUAAAGAGGUCCCAGCACCCACAUGGCAGCUUAUAAUCACCUAUAACUACAGUUCCACAGGAUCCACCACCUUCUUCUGACCUCCACAGGCACCAGGCAUGCAGAUCAAGCAUCCACACACAUAAGUUUGUUUGCUUAAUAGCUUGCUUGGUCACUGAUUCAUUCAUUCAUUCGUUGGUUUUUUGAAGCAGGGUUUCUCUGUAUAGCUGUGGCUGUCCUGGAGGACUGACUGUCUUUCGAGUGCCGGGAGCACCACCACACCUGCUUUACACAUACAUUUUUAAAUAAUUUUAAAUACAAAUAAAAGCAACUUCUGAGCUAGUGAGAUGACUCUGAGUGGAGUUGCUGAUAAAGCCAAGAUUCAAGAGUACACGCGGGAAAGUGCAGGUGUCUUCACUUCCAUAUGUGUGCCAUGCCAUGACCACACUAAAUACAUUUUAGGUGGUAUCCAGGAAGGCUUGGGCAGAAUGGAGUAAUAAUGUGAAACUUUGAUCUUAAAGAGACAUUGGGACAAGCAUAAUCCAAGCAAAAUCUUACUCAGAAAGCAACAUGAAACAUUUGGCUCUGUUUUCGCAUAGCAGCACAGCGAGAUGUGUUGACUCUGCCUCCUUCGGAGUAACACAGGCAGUGGGCACCAUUUGGAGAGCAGGUUACUGUCCAGUCAGAGCCCGAGGAGCAGAGUUGCUGCUCCCUGCCACACUGUGGCCAUCCAGCAGGGAAGAUUAGCCGUUUCACAAAGCAGUACAGAGUCAAGUUUGAAUCAGAACUGUCAGUCGUGUCAUUUACACCAGGGAAGCAAGUGUUCGCAGUAGGAGUAGAGCAGAGGUAAAGGGAGGGGAUUCGCAAGGGCCGCCUGAGCUUAGCAGCAGCCGAGAAAAACAGUGGUGCUCUGAAGAAAAGCGGAUGAAACAGUCACUGCUGGCUUUGGCAAUACUGGAACUAACCGAGUACUGCCACACGCCUUUAAGGGAUCCCUCCAGCACUCCGGAGGGAAGGCAGGACAGCCAGCUACACAGAGACCUUUCUGUCUUGAAAAAUCCAAAAGAAAAAAAAAAGAAAAUAUUGGUAUUAAGGGAUUGAAGAGAGGGCUCAGGGUUCAGAGCACUGGCUGUUCUUCCAGAUAACCAGGUUCAAUUCUCAGCACCUGCGUACAGCUCACAACCAUCCUUAACUUCCCAGGAGAUCUGACGCCUCCUUGUGGCGUCUGCGGUACUGUAAGCACAUGCAAAAUACCCAGACACACAAAACAAAUAAAUUCAAUAUGUAUAGAUAUAUACAUAGAUGCAUAUGAAAUUAAAGUGGAUGCCAGUGGAAAUCUGUCUAAUAAUGAGACUUAGAAAGCAUGUAUGUGGCUCUUACUCCUGCUUCUCCACCUUGCCUCUUACUCUCUUGUUCCCCCUCUCUGCACGUGGUCAUGGCCGGCCCCUACUUCUCUACUCUCUCCUUCUCUCUGCCUUUCUCUGCUUCUGCUACCCUCUUAACUCCCCUCCCCGUGCCCUAAAUAAACUCUAUUCUAUACUUUAAAAAGAAAAAAAAAAAGCAUGUAUAUAGCCAGUGAGAUGCUCAGUAGCUAAGGUACGUGGUGCUGAGCCUGACAAAUGAGUUCCAUAUCCAGGACAACACGUGAUGAAAGGAUAGAACCAACUUUCACGUAGUUCCCUGACCUCAACAUGCGUGCUGCGUUAUUUUUUAAAGAGACAUUAAAGGCACAGGUAGGGGUGAUAGAGAGAUAGUUCAGUGGUUAUAAAACAUUUGCUGUUCUUAACAGAGGACCCACACCAGCCAGCUCACAGCCAUCUGUAACUCCAAGGGAUCCAGCCUCCUGGUAUCUGCACACAUGUGCAUAGACAUUAUACUCAGGCGUGCGUGCAUACAGCAAGUUAAAGAGUAAAGCACAAGUGACCCUAAACGUAUGCAUUUGACUUGAGAACACAAGGGUAGUUGGUAGACACGUUGCCUCUGUAACAGUUUAACUUGUUAGACUUGGGAGGACAGGCAGAGAGCUCCGGAGGACCCUGCUCCCUGAGCACUGGGUGCUUGUAUCAACAGAAUAGCACCUCUGUCUGUGUUGACUGGACACCCUUCCCUGGUGGCUGUGAGUAGCCGUGAGCUCUGGGCGAGCACUCAUACCUCAGCUGCUGCCCUCCGCUUCGGGCCCUCCCUAGGAGAGCUGCGAAGGCGUCAGCAGUGAAGCGUAUGCCGACCUGCCCCAAAGAUUCCAAAAGCUGGCUUCUUGCUUCUGUCAUGAGUUGGCUGACCUCAUAGUCAGCUCAGAUGUGGCGGAUUGUCCCAAAUAGUGGUGAGGGUGAGGCUGACUCAGUGACCCUCUGACUGGGACAGUAACAGGUGCAGUCAGGGUCACAGAAGGGGUCUGUCUACUCUAAACAGCACAUUCUCAGUGAUUUCAGGGUCACAGAAGGUGGGGUCUGUCUACUCUAGACAGCACAUUCUCAGUGACUCAGCUCUUUGGACAGUUGGCUACUGGAAGCUGUACAGGUGUGUGGGAAGAGCAAGUAGACCUACUGAAGUCAAAGAGACGUGGCCGCAUCUGUGUGCUUUCGGAGUCCGUCCAGAACAGUAAGACAGUGACUCAGGACAGAUGGGAAUGAGUGACAGGCUGUGGGGCAGCAGGGGCUGCUGUCCUCCCGUGUGCAGCGGGGGCUGCUGUCCUGUGUGCAGCAGGCAGGCCGAGCGCAGGCCGAGCACAGGGAGAGCACGGCUGCUUGUCCCUGCCCCACCUUCACCUGGAGCACAGCCUGAGCCAGCCUGCCUCAGAGGGUGGACGCGUGAUCCUCUCUGCUGCCUUCUGCUCGCUCCUCCUCCACUUUGCAAUAGCCGCAGCCGAGCGCCAUCUGCCCUCAUGCCCACAGUCCCACCUCUGCCCUGUAUUUUUAAGAAUACAAAAAUGUGUGUGUACCAGGGGAGGGGGUAUAUGUGUAUGUACAUGUGUGCCUUUGCCUGGCAUUUUUGAAAAUACAAACAUGCGCAUAUGUAGAUGCUCACUUGAGCCUAUGGUGCUUGUCUGGAGGUCAGAGGUCAGCCUUGCAGCGUUGGCUCUGUCUCAGUCAUUUGGGCCUGGCAGUAAGCACCCUCACCUGAUGAGCUGGCGUGCCCUUGGCUCUCUUGGUGACUAAAGCAUACAGAAGUUAAUUUCUCUCAGAUGAAGGCACUGGAAGGAUUGUGUAAGAUAAGUCUUUGUCUGCUUUUGUGUGUAAAUUUUUAUUUUUGAUUUUGUGAUUUUUGAAACAAGGUCUCUAUGACCAAAACUGGCCUUGGGCUGUGUGCACUGCUGAGUCUGGGAGCUAAUCUUUUACUCUGUGGGGUACAGAUGCGUGACUCGGUCUGAUCUGCUUCAAAGAAGUCACAGAUUUAACAUAUUAGCCUGGAAUAGUGAUGUACACUUUUAAUCCUAACUCUCUGGAGGCAGAAGCAAGAAGAUCUCUGUGAGUUGGAAACCAACCUGAUCUAUAUAGAUAGUAAGUUCCAGGACAGCCAGGGACAGGUACAGAGGCCUUGUAUCAGAAAGGAAGUUUAGCAUGGUUGUAGAGAGCAAUCAGAGGGGGCCAGCUGAAGUAGGCCCAACCUGUGACAGUUUACCAGAGACAGUUGUUGUCACUAACUGGACAGAUGAUUUCAUGAGAGGGCCCCUGGGGCUCUCCUGGGUAGUUCUGGUAACCAAGCAGUUCUAUGAGGUUUAUGACUGCCCCAUUCUAGCUCCUCAGUGUUUUUGAGGAGGCAGACAGACCCUACCCAUGCCCACUAAACGCCUUGAGGAGGCAGGCAGGCCCUACCCAUGCCCACUAAACGCCUUGAGGAGGCAGGCAGGCACUACCCAUGCCCACUAAACGCCUUGAGGAGGCAGGCAGGCACCACCCAUGCCCACUAAACGCCUUGAGGAGGCAGGCAGGCAUUACCCAUGCCCACUCAACACCUUGUCCUGACAGGCUUUCUCUCUGUCCUCCAGAUAGGGAGAGAUUCCUGAAGAAUGUCUCUGAUCUCCUGGGUUAGAUUUUGUUGGCAUUGGAAUUUCUACUGUGACAAAAGCACUUAUAAUUCCUGAAGUCACAGAAACAACUGUCCUGCAUUCCCUGAGUGUCCUGCAGAGGGUACUACCUCCGUGGCUUCAUUCUUUCCUGAGCACACUCCUUAGAGUGGGAUAGUCUCAGCAGCUGGCAUGCUGCUCUUGACAGGUUCUGUCCUGCAGAGGGUGUGUAGCAUUUUAGGCUCAGAGACAGCCAUUUGAGUCCCAAGGUAGAGAUGUACCUGGUAUAGGAUCCAGGGAUGAUAACAAGGUGAGAGUGCUGCAGGGGAGGCUGGGGGAAGUCAGAGGGCAGAAAUCAGGUGGGCGGAGGCUUUAGGGGCAGUGUGCAGGGCGCUCUGGUCGCUCUGCCCUGUGUGGAGCACGGGAGUAAUGGAAGCAGAGAGGUCACCACAGCCAGGGUGCACGGCGGAGGUAGGGGUGUAAGGUGUGAAGAUGACAGAGCGAUUAGAAGGGCGGGGGGCGGGGGCCAGAGCAGGGUGCUCCGUAGAGGGACCAGCAGCCUCACCUCAGAUGUGAAGUUUAAGAGAGGAGAGUAGGGUCGGGUUAGAGUUGUACAUCUGGGUGUUGGCUCACAUAUGGAUGGUGUUGAGCGUCGUAACGUGGGUUGCUGUUCUCUUAAAGCCGUGUGAUGUAAGAACAGCACUAGUGUCUCUGGAACAAAAUCCUCCAGUGGCAGAGAGAGUCCAGAGACUAAGCUGUGCUCUUGAGCACAUCAGAGCAGCACCAUUGCUGCAGUUUCCAUAUGGUGCAUAGACUUCAACUCAUACAGAAAUUCUUACAGAGAAAUUAUAAACCAGGCAAGCAAGCAAAACAAAAGGAAGGACAGAAAGAAAAAAAGGAGAGAGGGGCCAGGCGUCACGGUUGCAGAUCUCUAAUCUAGCAGAGGUAGAUGGAUCUCUAAGCCAGAGACCAGCCUGGUCUAGCCAAUGCUGCAGAGUUAGACCCUUUCCCCACCCCCACCCACAAAGAAAAACUUUUAAGAAGAAAAUUUUUAAAAAAAGGUCAGUUAUGUAGUUCCCACCUUCAGUCCCAGCACUGAGGAGGCAGAAGCAGGCAGAAGCUGAGUUUGAGGACAGCCUGGAAUAUGCAGCACACUCCAGGCCAGGGAGGCUACACAGAGAGAGACUCUGUCACCUACAACAGAAACCCAGCUGAAGCCACAGUGGCCUAGAAGGUGAAGCAGGACAGGAGGUGACAACCACCACCAACCCAAAAUCCAAGAGUGAGUGAGAUAGCUCAGUGGAAGAGCACAGGCAAAGCCCCAGGUUAGUGGUGUCUGAGCCUCCGUGGGUGUGCUUAGAGUCAGACUUGGGUCCCUCUCAAGCUCUCCAGCCCUUAGCUCUAGGACUCCAUAGUUACAGAGAGUAAUACAGUGCUCACCAAUGCCUGCAACCUUCACAUGGCACUUAAUAGUAGGUCGUGGCCAGAACCCAGAGUCCGGCGUUCUAGAUCACAUUUCGAUGCAUGGUUUCGGCUGUCCUGUGCAGACUGUAUGGACAUUUGUGUCAGGUGUGGAGGGCGACUCCUCACCUACCUGUGGCAGCUGAGAACCCAUGGCCAAGGAGGAAGAAGAAGAGGGAGGAGCACAGGCCCCGCCCACCGUGCUCUGGCAGCCCAGCACAUUCUGUACAGAAAGCGUUUGUUAGGGAGGGGACUUUGGGUUUGAUGCUGUUGCGAUGCCUCCAUCUCCUGAAAGCUCAGUGAGAAGAGCUAGUGAAGGCCUCUCUCCUGAGCGGCUGUUUGCAUUGGCAUUGACUGUGUGUGCACUUUAAAAUAAUUUAAGCAAACAGCAAGGACCUAGAAAAUGUCUUUUGUUAUGUACCAUUGCUGAUUGACUGAGGCUGAGAAGUAUGUCCAGGAACUCUCCUUCGACCUCAGCAGUUUCAAAGGUGUCAGGCUCCUCUGGGUUUGUUUUGGGGCUCUGGGCAUUGUCUCGGACUGCUGACAUUGGGCAGGCUUGUAGCACAAGACAGCUGUGUUCUCAGGAUUGCCAGCUCUUGUCACGCUGGUCAUGUCACAACUCUCUCUCCCUCUUGCUCUCCCUCUUCCGUCUGCAUUAAUUUCUGCUAGGGUUCUGAAGCAGGUUCUGUGGACAGAAGUCCACCACUUGGGUCAGUCUCUCCUGGCUUAGCUGCUAAGCUUUCACCGCUCAGUAGCCAGGGUGCUCUGGUGACUCCAACAGAGCAUGUCAGCGGGUGAGAACCCGUUCUUACACCCGGGCGGAAGGAUUGGCCUCCUUCCCCACAGAGGCCUGAGGGACUGGAUCUCUCUGCUUGUCAUGGGUUGCCUAAGGACCAGUCACAAUUGCCUGCUCCAUGCAGAGGCAGCUCUCAUGGUGUUCAGUCAGUCAUGAGCUCCUCCGCUCAGUCUCUGCUGAUUCCUGUCUUCAAAGUGUCACCAGUGUGCCUUGCUACGGGCACAGACAUGAGCCAGAGAAGAGAAAUAGGGUGUGGGGAAAUUGGUUUUGUGUUUUCCAGCUUUUCUCUUUGCUUUCAAAAGAAUCUAUUGUGCUACAAUAAAAUUUUAAAAUGUUAAU